rnacentral:rRNA from 1 species
CAGCACCACAAGUGGUCAGGAUGAUUAGUGGGCCUAAAGCAUCCGUAGCCGGCGCUGUAAGUUUUCGGUUAAAUCUGUACGCUCAACGUACAGGCUGCCGGGAAUACUGCAGCGCUAGGGAGUGGGAGAGGUAGACGGUACUCGGUAGGAAGGGGUAAAAUCCUUUGAUCUAUUGAUGACCACCUGUGGCGAAGGCGGUCUACCAGAACACGUCCGACGGUGAGGGAUGAAAGCUGGGGGAGCAAACCGGAUUAGAUACCCGAGUAGUCC